CAGGAAAGGAAAGUAGAAGACACGCAUAUAACUUUUCAGCUAAUGAAAUUUUGUUGACCAAACAACAUUCAUUUUGCUUGUCAUAUUUGUGGUAGUUCAAUUGAUAUGGUGAUCCUCUAUGAUUUUGGUUCUUGGUGAGCUGAAAUCUGACAAAGCUCAUUUAAGUCUUUGAAUUUCAGUUAAGGCCAAUGUCUUUAUGUUGUAUGUAAUGAACACAUUUCAAAAACUCAAGUGUUAUUUGAAUAAAAUAUCUACAUUUGUGUUGGAUUGGAUUA